CUUUACUCCUACGGGAGGCAGCAGUGGGGAAUAUUGCACAAUGGGCGCAAGCCUGAUGCAGCGACGCCGCGUGAGGGAUGACGGCCUUCGGGUUGUAAACCUCUUUCAGCAGGGAAGAAGCGAAAGUGACGGUACCUGCAGAAGAAGCGCCGGCUAACUACGUGCCAGCAGCCGCGGUAAUACGUAGGGCGCGAGCGUUGUCCGGAAUUAUUGGGCGUAAAGAGCUCGUAGGCGGCUUGUCGCGUCGGUUGUGAAAGCCCGGGGCUUAACCCCGGGUCUGCAGUCGAUACGGGCAGGCUAGAGUUCGGUAGGGGAGAUCGGAAUUCCUGGUGUAGCGGUGAAAUGCGCAGAUAUCAGGAGGAACCACCGGUGGCGAAGGCGGAUCUCUGGGCCGAUACUGACGCUGAGGAGCGAAAGCGUGGGGAGCGAACAGGAUUAGAUACCCUGGUAGUCCACGCCGUAAACGGUGGGCACUAGGUGUGGGCGACAUUCCACGUCGUCCGUGCCGCAGCUAACGCAUUAAGUGCCCCGCCUGGGGAGUACGGCCGCAAGGCUAAAACUCAAAGGAAUUGACGGGGGCCCGCACAAGCGGCGGAGCAUGUGAAAUAGUUCGACGCAACGCGAAGACCCUUACCAAGGCUUGACAUACACCGGAAAACCCUGGAGACCAGGUCCCCCCCUUG
rnacentral:rRNA from 1 species